UCAUCAGAGUCUGUCCUGAACACUUCAAAAUUUUUCGUGUGGUUUCAAGGUAGUUCUUUUAGAUUCAAGCCAUUACUAACGAAUCAAAAAUGUGCGGACCUUGCUAUGCACCCUGUGGACCCUGCGGGCCGUGCGGAUCAAUCUGCUCGCCCGUCUGUUUUAGUGAUGGCUGCUGUGGUCCCUGUUCUGGGCCGUGCUGCGGACCUUGCGGACCCUGUGGACCUUGCUGUGGGCCCUGUGGUCCUUGUUGCGCACCUUGUGGGCCUUGUGGUCCCUGUUGCGCCCCUUGUGGACCUUGCUGCGGGCCUUGUGGGCCUUGCUGUGGGCCCUGCUAGCUGGCAAAAUAGCCAUUGAAAUAACAAGAUCGUUGAAUCCCAACAGCUACUUUGGACCACCGAAAUGUCCAAUUGUCCAAAACUUUCGUAAUAAACCAAUAAUGUAGGAAAUUA